rnacentral:rRNA from 1 species
AGGGAAUAUUAGUCCAUGCUCCGCAAGAGUGAACUAGCUAACUGAAAUUAUAAUUNCUCCCGGGGACUGGGAGAAGAUGUAAUAACGUAAUGGGCNUUUGCCUUAAAGUAAGGGGCAAUACCUUUACUUAGGAGUAAGUGCCGGUCCUUUUUAUAAUUAUAAAGCGGAAUUUUAUAAUUAUAUAGUGAGGAUUUUUAAAAAGAUGAUAUGAUCAUUACUAUUAGUGCUGUCCAAAUCUGGUGCCAGAAGACUCGGUAAGGCCAGAAGCGCAUACGUUAGUCACAUUAAACAGGCGUAAAGGGUGUGUAGGCGGCUUUUUAAAACUGAUCUUUUAAGAUAACUACUUUAUAAUAUAAUUAAAUAUAAAAUUGUAUAAAAUAUAUAUAUAUUAUACUGAAAAAAAAAAGAAAGGCGACUAAAAGCUAGAAUCUUAUCGAGGUUAAACAGAAUAAUACUUAGUGGAGGGAUUUAAUCUUUAGAUAUUAGGUGGAAUACUAAUAGGUGUAAACUUUUAUCCAUUAAUGAUUGACGCUGAGACACGAAGGCGGGAAAAGGAAAUAGGAUUAGAUACCCAAAGUACCUCUCGCAGUAAACGAUGUAUGGUUUUCUAGGUAGUUUUUAAAACUGCUAUUGACGCUAACGCUAUAACCAUACCGCCUUGCGAGUACGGUUGCAAAACUGAACCCAAAAAA